rnacentral:rRNA from 1 species
AUUGAACGCUGGCGGCAGGCCUAACACAUGCAAGUCGAGCGGAUGAAGGGAGCUUGCUCCUGGAUUCAGCGGCGGACGGGUGAGUAAUGCCUAGGAAUCUGCCUGGUAGUGGGGGAUAACGUCCGGAAACGGGCGCUAAUACCGCAUACGUCCUGAGGGAGAAAGUGGGGGAUCUUCGGACCUAUCGCUAUCAGAUGAGCCUAGGUCGGAUUAGCUAGUUGGUGGGGUAAAGGCCUACCAAGGCGACGAUCCGUAACUGGUCUGAAAGGAUGUUCAGGCACACUGGAGCUGAGACACGGUCCUGGCUCCUACGGGAGACAGCAGUGGGGAAAAUUGGACAAUGGGCGGAAUCCUGAUCCAGCCAUGCCACGUGUAUGAAGAAGGUCUUCGGAUUGUAAAGCACUUUAAGUUGGGAGGAAGGGCAGUAAGUUAAUACCUUGCUGUUUUGACGUUACCAACAGAAUAAGCACCGGCUAACUUCGUG